UCCGGCUUAACGCCGGCGGUUUCCUUAGAGUGCCCAGCCGAACUGAUGGCAACUAAGGACGAGGGUUGCGCUCGUUGCGGGACUUAACCCAACAUCUCACGACACGAGCUGACGACAGCCGUGCAGCACCUGUGCACGGUCCAGCCAAACUGAAGGAAAGCAUCUCUGCGAUCCGCGACCGGCAUGUCAAGGCCUGGUAAGGUUCUUCGCGUUGCCUCGAAUUAAACCACAUGCUCCACCGCUUGUGCGGGUCCCCGUCAAUUCCUUUGAGUUUUAAUCUUGCGACCGUACUCCCCAGGCGGGAUGCUUAAUGCGUUAGCGGCGCCACCGAGCCCUAAGGGCCCGACGGCUAGCAUCCAUCGUUUACGGCGUGGACUAC
rnacentral:misc_RNA from 1 species